rnacentral:rRNA from 1 species
UACGUAGGGGGGCUAGCGUUGUCCGGAUUUACUGGGCGUAAAGGGCGCGUAGGCGGCGUGACAAGUCACUUGUGAAAUCUCCGGGCUUAACUCGGAACGGUCAAGUGAUACUGUCGUGCUAGAGUACAGAAGGGGGCAACUGGAAUUCUCGGUGUAGCGGUGAAAUGCGUAGAUAUCGAGAGGAACACCUGCGGCGAAGGCGGGUUGCUGGGCUGAUACUGACGCUGAGGCGCGAAAAGCUAGGGGGAGCGAACGGGG